rnacentral:rRNA from 1 species
UACGGAGGGGGCUAGCGUUGUUCGGAAUUACUGGGCGUAAAGCGCACGUAGGCGGAUCGAUCAGUCAGGGGUGAAAUCCCAGGGCUCAACCCUGGAACUGCCUUUGAUACUGUCGAUCUGGAGUAUGGAAGAGGUGAGUGGAAUUCCGAGUGUAGAGGUGAAAUUCGUAGAUAUUCGGAGGAACACCAGUGGCGAAGGCGGCUCACUGGUCCAUUACUGACGCUGAGGUGCGAAAGCGUGGGGAGCGAACAGG